UGCGGCACUCUUUCUGCUUCUCUCGGGUGGAUCUCUAGAAUUCUCCUUUGGUUUCCGUCACCCAACCAAUUCAUCAGACUCAUCAUUACACCCCACUAAUUGCUCUCUCAGUCUCUCCCACGCCUCAUUUACUCUCUCAUUACACUCAAAUUUUGGAUUUUUCAAGAAAGGCAGUCUGUGCUGCUUCUUCUGUUCUGAUUUGAAGAAGAUUUCUCAAGCGGCUAUAAUUUCAUGGUAGGUUGGUUUAAAGCCCUAAAUUUGGGAUCGUUUGGGAUAUUUUUAGGUUUUUCUGUCCCUGACAAAUCUUGGCUCGCUAAAAAAAACCGGAAGCAGUUUAAGCUUCUUCAGCCUUUUGAUUUGGAUUGAAGAUGAUUUUUAGCCAAAAAGGCUAAUGUUUUCUGUUUUAGAAGACGGUCAUGUUGGAAUUUUGGGGCUUUCGUAUGCAACGUUGGAACCACUUUGUGCUCAAGGUAUAUAAUAAGGUAUGUAGCCUCAUUAUUACACCUUAUCUUAUCUUCUGUUGAUACGAAUUUUGUUGGUUUUUCGAUUUUAUCAGGGUCCCUUUUUUUAAAGUCUGGCGUUCGUUGGUGAGUUUUUCUACUUUUUUAGUACUUUUUUGCAGAUAUAGCCUACAAAUGUUGUCCCGAAGGUUGGACAUAAUCAUUACUUCCUAUUACAAUCAUUAAAGUUAAUUCAAUUAACUAAAGUUGAUUUGAAUGUGAUGAUGAUGGAGAUAUUUGCUUAGGUGAUAGAAUCUCGCUGACAACUUUCGAUAUUCAGAUGGAAUUUGCGUAUGAAUUUUGUUUAUCUAAUUUAGAGUGUUCUGUUUAUAUCGUUAGAUUCGUCACCUGAGUGUAUGAUUUGCUUAUGUUUUUUGUUUCAGGAGAUGUUGCUCUACAUUUCUUCGGGCUUUUGUGUGCAGUUUUCGAAACCCUUUGUGCUCAAGUAAAAUCACGGAUUUACCCCUUCUGUAUGAGUGUCCGUCGUCGUAGAAAGGAAGGGGACGGGUGGCACUCUUCUUCUGCUUCUCUCAGGUUGAAGCAAAUUUCUCAAGCAGCUAUAAUUUCAAGGAUUUCUUGAGUCGAAUAACAACCUGGGUGAUCAAAAGGAAAAAAAAGCAUUUAGUCUCUGCUUGCAAGGUGACUUAUUUUCAUGUCUGUCCUCCCUCUAAGUCAACUGAGGAUUCAAAUCUAGCGGGGCCAGCUCAAGAUAUAGAUAAAACAAUUUCAAGUCUUUAAAAGAGGGUGAAAGUUGCAUUCUUCACAAAGGCAAAAUAAAGAACAGAUUCUACUUCAUAUGAAAAGAAGAGAACAAUGUGUUUGUACGCUUCUGAUUAAACACAAAAAGGAGUCCUUCAACGUGGAACAUGAAGAUGUAAUUGAAGUUUCUAUAGAAGUUACUAUAUACUUAAUUAACAAUGACAAUGAUGUAUCCCUUCACAUUGCAAAGCUCAUCCCCUCCGUUAGCAAUUCUGGACAAUUUGAGCUUGCUCUAAGGUUCUUACAGAACAUGCUAGGUCACUGGCGAAUUGCAGGUGCAGUUGUGACUGCCGGAGGUGCAGGUGUUAUUGCUAGAGUUGCAAGUGUUGUUCCAAAUAUGGCUAUCAAAGUUUCUCCCCUGGACUUUCUUGUGGCCCAAGGUCGUCGUAUUCGACGUAUGUCUAUGUUGUUACUGAAGCCAUCCAACUCGGCGCUAUACCAUACGAAGAUGUAUGGAAUUACAUGUCAGACACUGGCAAUCGCUUUGAGACUAUGACCCAUAGUGUAAUAGAGAAGGAUCUGGCCUCAGUCGAGCCUUUGAAUAAUGGUUAACACCAGAUGAUUUGAUGCUUUUUAUGUUUGUGUCUAGAAUCUCAAAAUUGAGUUUUUGAUAUGUUUACUUAGUUUAGAAACUAAAUUCUUUAAUGUGUUUAGAACUCAGGUUUAGAACCCAAGUCUUUGAUCUAUUUACUUUGUUGGGCCACUGUUGACCGCUUCCAAACUAUGAUUGGGGUUUGAGGAUGAGGUUACACCCUUGUUCUUGCUCUUGAUUAUGGUCGAGGUUUGAGAUAUUGAUGUAAUUAUUUGCGUUGUAUAUGUUUAGAAACUGCUGCUGUGUUGCAUCUGCUUAUAAUACAGGUCUUAUAUCUGUUUUGGCAUGGUAUGGGUUGAAGUAGCCUCUUUGAAAUAACACUGUUUAGUGAAUCGGAUUUUUAGCAUGUUGAUUCUCCUAAAGUGCAAGUAUUUGAUUAAUUGUAGAACUUAUGGGACCAGUAAUUCAUUGUUAAAAAAACACAGCCAAAACACAAGUUCUAAUUGCUUCCCUUUUAUAUGACCUUCAAGUUAUCAAAACAUGUUAUGUCCACAGGUUAAUAUCGAUUGAAACUGGGGAAGAUGCAGGGAGACAUGCUAUGUCCAAAUGUCCAUUAAACCUAGAGUUAGAGUCCCCCUUCUACAACCAUUUAACACGGGAAUGCUGUCGCCAGAACAAUUUGUCUCUUGCCUCCAACUUAUCAAUUAGACCAGAGAGAGAUCGAGUCUCCUUAACAUUCGCCUCCCAAUUGUUUUGAAGCUGCUCAAACUGAUUUAUUUGAGCCCCAAUCUCCUCUCGGUCACCACGAAACCUUUGCCUACUCCAAUUCAAAAGGCUUCCUUUACAUGAAUUUAGGCGUCGCAACCACUAUCAACAUGGGUCCUCACACCAUUAAUUCUCACUUCGCUGAAUUACCUCCCGACAGCCAUCCUUAAUUGGCCAAAAAACCUCAAAUCUAAAUAAUUUUUUCCUUUUAGCAUUCGAAGGCUCCGUGUUGAUAAUAAUAUGGCAAUGGCCAGAUCCCCUCACGGUGCCAUGGGUGACCCAGGUUGAGGGCCAUCAAACCUGCCAGCAAUCAUUGGCAAGGCCACGGUCAAGCCUUUCUUGCACAAGACUGUUAUUCCUAGUACCUCUCUCCAAGUAUAUUUCGGCCCACGCCAAGGUCAAUCAGCUUCAUAUUUGUCAUGAAUUCAUGUAGGAAGCGUGGUCUAGUAUGGAAAUCAUCACAACCUCCCGUUUUCUCAAAUUCCCACAAUAUCUCAUUUAAGUCACCCCCGCAAAACCAUGGACACUCUGCAGACACCAAAAUCGUAGUGAGCUAGUUCCAAAACUCCAUCUUUUCUACGCGAUAUGGAUUUCCAUAAAUCCAAGAUGCUUGGAUCCAAUCACGAUUCCCAAAUUCCCUCAUGGAUGUAUGAAUAAUAUUUUUUGUUGACAACAAAACCUGAAUUUUAAUUGGCUCGUGCCACCAUAAGCUCAGUCUUUCAACCGCUCCAAUUGGAGGGACAUUAAACCCCCAACUAUAUCACAUCAUCCUUCUUACUCCUUCUAAUCUAUGGCAUUGCAUCUUAGUCUCUGAUAGAAACACCACAUAGGGUCUAUGCAUUCUUAUGAGACUGUGUAGAGCUCGAACCCGAGACCAGGACAGUUCCAUGAUAAGUUAAUCGUGGUGAUUUUGCAGCUGAUUUAGGCCAGCCGCCACCACCUGGGAUUGUUUCCUCGCACUUCGCGCAUUGAGCACCUCUAUAUCAACUUUCACAGCACCAUCUAAAUAAUCUCAGAUGUUAUCGUCCUCUGUAAUUGGUUCAUCUUAAAGCUCCUCAUCCACUAAGAUAACCUUCUCCAUCGAGGACCAUUAUUCCCACAGGGCAUUCCAUCAAAACGACUUCUCUUUCUACCCCCACGAACCCCUAAGCAACCUCCUGACUUUGGUUUCUUCCCCGGCCUUUGCAACUCAGAGAGUCCCUUAUUCUUUCCAAGGUUUCUCUUCAGCCCCAAGUCUUCGAAGAUGUUUCUAGGCAAUGGAGAGCUAGAGUCCAUUGUGAUAUUGUUAUCUAUCGUGGCAUGAGACAGAGAUGUGGAAAGAUCUACAAAGAUCCCAGCCCAUUUGGGCUAUCAAGUUGGCCCUCAAUUAAUAAUUUAUCCCACAUCCAGGGCCUAUCGUGUAUUAUGGGCCUAUUCAAAUCACUACUCUCGUCCAGCUCUUAUAUGAUCACCCUUCUCCAUUUUGCUUAGUGUCAAGGAUCUAGAUGGAAAUUAUGGUUGUCCCUGUAGCCCUUUCUUUCCACCAAGAAUUUCUUUUCCUUUAUGUGGGAUUAAUCCACCAAUUGUCACCUUCAGAAUUCUUUAUGCUCUCUGCUGCAAAAGCUGCAUUCGGUCUCGCAUCUCUCGCAUUCGGUCGCGCAUUCCCUCUCGCAUUCGUAACUAACUGCCGUUCUUAUCUUUGAACUUAUCAGUUGGGAUUCGAAGGAAUAGAUUUUGUGCAACGACAUUGGAAAAACUAAGUUCAUCUUCACAAGGCAGAACGUUUUGGCGGGAAUUUGCACGGAUAUAUAUACAUGUAGGAAGCCUGCUUUUAAAGGAAGGGAUUUUCAUAUUUUUUUUAUGAAAAUGGGGAUUAGUUGUGAGUCCACAUUACAUCGAAUUUUAAUGAUCCGAACCGUCUAUUUAAGGAAAAUUAGAAUGUCCCACUCUUUUUCUACCUUUUGUGUCUUUUAAAGAUUUGAUCAAAUUGCUUGGACUAAUGGCCACCUAAGCAUUUUAAAAUUAUUUUUAUUUACAUAUCAUUAGUUUAUUUCUUUUAAAUGAAAAAUGUUAUAUGUUGAUUUCCCA